rnacentral:rRNA from 1 species
GACGAACGCGGCGGCGUGCCUAAUACAUGCAAGUCGAACGAGAGCGACCGGUGCUUGCACUGGUCAAUCUAGUGGCGAACGGGUGAGUAACACGUGGGUAACCUGCCCAUCAGAGGGGGAUAACAUCCGGAAACGGAUGCUAAAACCGCAUAGGUCUUCGAGCCGCAUGGCUUGAAGAGGAAAAGAGGCGCAAGCUUCUGCUGAUGGAUGGACCCGCGGUGCAUUAGCUAGUUGGUGAGGUAACGGCUCACCAAGGCCGUGAUGCAUAGCCGACCUGAGAGGGUGAUCGGCCACAUUGGGACUGAGACACGGCCCAAACUCCUACGGGAGGCAGCAGUAGGGAAUCUUCCGCAAUGGACGCAAGUCUGACGGAGCAACGCCGCGUGAGUGAAGAAGGUUUUCGGAUCGUAAAACUCUGUUGUUAGAGAAGAACAAGUGCUAGAGUAACUGUUAGCGCCUUGACG